UGCACAGAGUCCCACUGUGUAGUUGUGCUCUGUUCUUGUUUUCCCUUCAUCUGCUGAUGGACAGUACAUCACCCCUCAAGGACGGUCAGAUUUGGGACUUUGAAUUUCUGGAUUAGGGACAUUCAGCUUGAAUGUAUCUUGAGAUGUGUGAAGCAAAAGGAUAGUCCAGAGAGCUUGCUGCAGUGAUCUUCCCCGGGCUCCAAGGCUUCCUCUAGUCCACCUACCUCGCUCUUCACUGCCUCCUGUGUGUCAUGUCUACAAUUUAGGAGACUCAGAAGCACUUAGCAAGAGAAACAAGGGCAAGAAAAUUGACUUCACCUUCCCAGAAGUGAAAUUCUCUACCACUAACUCAAUAGGUGAAAAUCUGAAUUUUCAUUUUGAACUUCAAGAACAGAACUGGUUUUUGUUUUGUGAUUUGCCUGCCACAUCUUGUACCUAUUUACAUAAAGGUAUUGGGGGGGGUAUUGCAUUUUUGGUGAAAGAAUUUGUUUUACCAACAAUUUUAGAUACAUGUAUAAUAAAUAUUUUGAUUAAUUAAUCUCCAAAGGAUGGGAUUGUGGACUAGUGAGAUAGUUCAGUAGAUAAAAAUGUUUCUGCGCAAAUCUGAUGACCUGAAUGUAGUACCUGGAACCCAUGGUGGAAGGACUCCUAUAAGAUGUCCUUGGACUACCACACCCAUGCUGUAGCUUGUACACACUUGUGCUCACCCCCACACACUGUGGUUUGAAUGUAUUCAUCAAAAUUCAAGCAGAAAUUGCAUUCUCAUUUAAGUUCUAAGUGGGGCCAGGCAUAUUGCUGGAAUGUGAUUGGGCCAUGAGGAUGGAUUUAUUCACUAUGAUUAGUGAGUUACUACAGGAGUACCUUUGCUAAAACAGCAGCUUCUUCCUGGCUAGCUGCUUGGUCUCACCAUGUUAUACUCUUCACACUGUGCCUUGCGGCACCACAAAGAACCAGAUCCUGGUACCAUGCUCUUGGACUUUUAUCUAGUCUGUGGUAUUCAGUGAUAAUUGCAGAAAACUGACCCCGGCAAGCUCCUUAGGAGUUUUUCUAAGACUUUGAGACUGUAAUUGACAAUAACAGAACAAGUGAUUGACAGGACGGGAUGGCGAACAUCUUCAGUUUGGCAACCUCUGUGAAGACUGCCAUUGGAAGACCACUUGAUGAUGAUGUGUGUCCAGAUGGCCAGAGGCCCUGCUGCUGUGCCUUGUCAGCACUGAUGGGCAGUAACCUGGAGCAUUGAGCUAAACAGCUGCAGGACCUGGUGGGACACAGGAAAACUCCAGCUACAACCAACAGAAACUGAUGCCUUGAUAUCUGGUCCAGUGGAAGCAGGGUCUUCUCCACCUGUGAAGGUGUCAGAUGUGGAGAAGGAAUUUCUGAGUGUGGAUCCUUGUCAUGCCAAUUUACCGCCAGCAUCCAGACACACAGGUUCAAGAUGGUCCAUCUCCACCACUGUGGACACUGUGUGUUCCUUGAGCCAAGUGUCAGCAGAAACUGUGGGAACUGGAGGAACAUGAAGGCUUAAGGAUGUCCUUAAAAAAAUGUCAUCUUCUACAGGAGAAAAGUGGUCCUUACAUCCUUGGGGAAAUAGUGCAACUUCAAAAGAGCUGUUCCGUCAAGAGCCCUGCACAU